rnacentral:rRNA from 1 species
UAUCUACUCAUAACGUCAAUGAUGGAUGCCUAGGAGAUAAUGGCCGAAGAAAGACGCAGGCGGCGGCGAUACUCGUCGGGGAGGUGCCAACAACCUUUGAUCCGGCGGUUUCUGAAUGAGGCAACUCUCCCUUUAUAGGGAAGCCAUACGUAAACAACGUCCCGCAAGGGAUGUAAUAGCGUAGGGCAGGAUACCGGGCCAACUGAAACAUCUCAGUAGCCCGAGGAACAGAAAUCAUAUGAGAUUCCGUUAGUAGCGGCGAGCAAAAGCGGAACAGCCUAAACCACCUCUGGUGGUGUUGCAGGGCAGACGAUAUCCGAUCUAUUUUGUCUAGAAGAAGAACCCGGAAUGGUUCCCCAUAGAACGUGAAAGGCGUGUAUUCGAAAGGCAAGAUAGCGGUAGUUUGUACCUAAGUACCAUGGGGCACGAUUAAACCCUGUGGGAAUCUGGGACGUCCAUGUUCCAAGGCUAAAUACCAUUGUCUACCGAUAGUGAACUAGUACCGCGAGGGAAAGGUGAAAAGCACCCCGGAAGGGGAAUGAAAGAGAACUGAAAUCAUUGACUGACAAGCAGCCGAAGCGCAAGUGACGGCGUGCCUAUUGAAGAAUGAACCGGUGAGUUAUUUUGUACUCUAUAGUCUAAGCAACUUAAGUUGCGAAGGCGUAGUGAAAGCGGGCCCUAACCGGGCUAAUAAGAGUAUGGAAUAGACCCGAAACCAGGUGAGCUAACCAUGAGCAGGGUGAAUGUCUCCGAAAGGGGACAGGAGGCCCGAACCCGUAGUCGCGGCAAUGACUUGGGAUGACUUGUGGUUAGGGGCAAUAUGCCAAACGAACCUGGAGAUAGCUGGUUCUCCCCGAAAUAUAUUUUGGUAUAGCGCUGAGUAAAUUACGCUCGUGGGGUAGAGCACUGAAUCGGUUUUGGCGUCGCAAGACGUCACACUGAAUCAAACUCCGAAUACACGAGUAUUAGUAUCUCAGUAGUCAAUCAUGUCGGGCUAAGCCGAUGUGUUAAAAGGGAAACAACCCAGAUUCUCGUCUAAGGCCUCUAAAUAAAGGCUAAGUUUAUAAGGAAGUCAUUUACCACAGACACCCAGGAAGUUGGCUUAGAAGCAGCCACCUUUUAAAGAACGCGUAACAGCGCACUGGCGGAUGGUAGAUGGCGCCGGAAAUUCCGGAGGAUAAGCCUUUUGCCGAAGACAGAAAUUCCGUAAGGGAUGGUAGGGGAGCGUUGUAAAUGCAGUGAAGUUGAGCUGUGAGGCUUGGUGGAGCGUUUACAAGUGAGAAUGCCGGUAUGAGUAGCGAGAUAUAGGUGAGAAGCCUAUACACCGUAUGCCCAAGGUUUCCUGCGCAAUGUAAUUCAGCGCAGGGUUAGUCGGCCCUAAGGGUGUUCCUCGUUUAAUUGGGGAGUAGCCCGAUGGAUAAGUCGUUAAAAUUCGACUACUAAAUAUACUACGUAUAAGGGAGUUUCGAAGGUGGAUAUGUUAAGCCUGCGUAAGUGGGUCUAAACAGUAAGGAAGAGAUGACUGGAAAAUCCGUCAUUUUGUUUAUUUAAGCUGUGGGGUAGUUUACCGAAAGGUGGACAAGUUAACAAACUUCAGCUUCCGAGAAACACUUCAUUAUGUCACAGCAAUGCUGACAAUAGUAUAUUUUACCGUACCGCAUAACCGACACAGGUGGGCUUGUCGAGAAGACUAAGGUGAUCGGGAGAAGGAGGUUCAAGGAACUCGGCACAAAAGCUAGGCGUAACCUUUGGGAGAUGCCUUGCCAACGAAGAAAUUCUGUUGGUCGCAGCGAAAGUUUGCUUACCGACUGUUUAUCUAAAACACAGGUCCCUGCAAAGCUGAAAAGCAACGUAUAGGGGCUGACACCUGCCCAGUGCUAGUAAGUCAAAUGUCUCU